UCCAAAGGCCUGCCUCUUGAAAUAAGGA
rnacentral:piRNA from 1 species